AACGCACAUUGCGCCCAUUAGUAUUCUAGUGGGCAUGCCUGUUCGAGCGUCAUUACGACCCUUAAGCCUUAGUUGCUUAGUGUUGGGGGCUCGCCGUAAAAGGCGACCCCUUAAAGAUAUUGGCGGAGUCGAGUUGAACUCUGAGCGUAGUAAAUCUUUUCUCGCUUUUUGAAGUCAUCACGGCGACGGCCACUAAACAACCAAUUUUCUAGUGGUUGACCUCGGAUCAGGUAGGAAUACCCGCUGAACUUAA
rnacentral:misc_RNA from 1 species